rnacentral:rRNA from 1 species
CUUGGUCAUUUAGAGGAAGUAAAAGUCGUAACAAGGUUUCCGUAGGUGAACCUGCGGAAGGAUCAUUAGCGAAAGCGUUUGUCAAGAAGGGUUGUAGCUGGCCACGCUUGGCAUGUGCACGCCUGGAUUGCAAACUUUUACCCUUCACCCCCUGUGCACGUACCGUAGCCUCACGAUGCUGAUGAAUGUGGAUGGUCCAGUUCAGACGUGUCUUCAGCUGCGGGAUUUUUCAUCACACAUACACUUUUGUUGAUUAUCGGAAUGUAACUGUCGCAGCGCUUGUGAAAGCGCGAAAUAUACAACUUUCAGCAACGGAUCUCUUGGCUCUCGCAUCGAUGAAGAACGCAGCGAAAUGCGAUAAGUAAUGUGAAUUGCAGAAUUCAGUGAAUCAUCGAAUUUUUGAACGCACCUUGCGCUCCUUGGUAUUCCGAGGAGCAUGCCUGUUUGAGUGUCAUGAAGUUUUCAACUGCCUUUUGGGUUCAUUGCUGCUCCUAUUAAGGGUGAAGUUGGAUUUGGAGGAUGAUCGUGCUGGCGCUCUUUGAUGAGCUUUGUCGGCUCCUCUCGAAUGCAUGAGCCUUCCUGUGUGCCACUGUGAAGCGAAUCCGAUGUGAUAGUUAUCUACGUUGGAUGUCGUGUUCGGCUGUGAGCAUGAACGGGAUCGCAAAAAGUGGACCGCAUCUUCUGGGAUGUGUCCUUGACCAAUUUGACCUCAAAUCAGGUAGGGCUACCCGCUGAACUUAAGCAUAUCAAUAAGCGGAGG